rnacentral:rRNA from 1 species
CGUGUAGGCGGCUCUGCAAGUCAGAUGUGAAAUUCCCGGGCUUAACCCGGGCGCUGCAUCUGAAACUGCAGAACUUGAGUACUGGAGAGGGUAGUGGAAUUCCUAGUGUAGCGGUAAAAUGCGUAGAUAUUAGGAGGAACACCAGUGGCGAAGGCGGCUAUCUGGACAGUAACUGACGCUGAGGCGCGAAAGCGUGGGGAGCAAACAG